UACGUAGGUCGCAAGCGUUGUCCGGAUUUACUGGGCGUAAAGAGCUCGUAGGCGGUUUGUUGCGUCGGCUGUGAAAUCCCGAGGCUCAACCUUGGGUCUGCAGUCGAUACGAGCAAACUAGAGUGUUGCAGGGGAGACUGGAAUUCCUGGUGUAGCGGUGAAAUGCGCAGAUAUCAGGAGGAACACCGGUGGCGAAGGCGGGUCUCUGGGCAACAACUGACGCUGGGGAGCGAAAGCGUGGGGAGCGAACAGG
rnacentral:rRNA from 1 species